rnacentral:rRNA from 1 species
GAUGAACGCUGGCGGCGUGCCUAAUACAUGCAAGUCGAGCGAACGGACGAGAAGCUUGCUUCUCUGAUGUUAGCGGCGGACGGGGGAGUAACACGUGGAUAACCUACCUAUAAGACUGGGAUAACUUCGGGAAACCGGAGCUAAUACCGGAUGAUAUUUUGAACCGCAUGGUUCAAAAGUGAAAGACGGUCUUGCUGUCACUUAUAGAUGGAUCCGCGCUGCAUUAGCUAGUUGGUAAGGUAACGGCUUACCAAGGCAACGAUGCAUAGCCGACCUGAGAGGGUGAUCGGCCACACUGGAACUGAGACACGGUCCAGACUCCUACGGGAGGCAGCAGUAGGGAAUCUUCCGCAAUGGGCGAAAGCCUGACGGAGCAACGCCGCGUGAGUGAUGAAGGUCUUCGGAUCGUAAAACUCUGUAAUUAGGGAAGAACAUAUGUGUAAGUAACUGUGCACAUCUUGACGGUACCUAAUCAGAAAGCCACGGCUAACUACGUG